rnacentral:lncRNA from 1 species
AAAGUUCAAAGAAACACUAACAAUUUAUUGAUUUCUUAUAUUCCCCCCCCCAAAAAAAACCAAACAAACAAACAAAACACAUGCACAUACAGGAAAGCAUAUACGUGGUGUAUCAUACAGGGAAACUGAGCUUGACCAGCCCGAGAUUCUUACACAAACAUGACGGAAGGGGAUGGGCUAGAGGGCAUCUCUCAGAUUCCUUGCAGCAUCCUGGGCUUCCCUCCCUGCUUAUCCCGGAGCCCCAUCACCCAUCUCUCAGCCAGCAAAGAGUAUCCUGUCGCUGGGGUCCCCAGAGAACUGUGGGAUGGAGCCCUGCUGGAGAAGCCACUGGUGGUCAGUGACUCUUAAGCACAGGACUCCCCGGACUCAAGGCGGGCAUGGGAUUGGUGUCCUUCCUCAUUUGUCCCCAAACCAGAACUUCCUGUUUUGAGUGUUGACCCUUGUAGCAUGAGGCCAAUGUGCACUUAAGAUACUAGGGUGUGCAUCAGAUACACAAAGCCCAGUGAAGGCCUUUCUCUAAGAGUUGCAUCCUCAAGCCCUCCCCUCUUGUUCUUCCCAAGUAACAGGCAUGCUCAGAGGCCCAGGCGAACAGCCCACCUGGCCAGCUUGAGAGAGCAUCAGAGAGGUUGCUUAACUGUUCGUGCCAGGCCCCUGAGGUUGGAGUAGCUGCCUCAUUCGCAAAGCAGAGGGAUGGGCCCACCUGAUUCCUCAUUCUGGGGAGACGGAAACUGAACCAAGAGGUGGCAGGAAGCCCGGCCCAUGCUGGGGGGCAGGGCACCCCCCUGGGCUUAUAAAAUUCAUGUGUAGCGAUUUAUUACCCUCUUGUUCUGGCUGGACUGCAGUCCUCUGUAAUUGGAGGAUUCUAAAUCCAAGGGCCUCAUGUCAUACCUCCCUUCAACCCCAGGACAGCAUAAUCCAGGACAGGGUCAAGGGCUGUUUUGUUCUCGAAAUUAUUCCAAGUGCUUAGAACCCUCUGCCUGGCACAGAGCGGGUGCCCCAUAAACGUUUUAAGAAAUGGAUCAUUCUGGGUCCUGAGGAGUGGCAGAGAUAGCCUGAAACCUACUCUUGGGAUGGGCUGGUGGAACAGGCUCUCAGGGGGCCCCUGGGAAGGAAGGAGAGCCAGGAGCAGGCCUUUCAGCACGGGUCAAAACAAGGGAGGUGCACUUGUGGGGACACUCCCCCUUCCCGCUCUAUUUGAAUUCCCUUUCUCCAGUCUCCCGGGACACCAGACUCUCCCUCACUUCUCUCUUGGCAGGCUUGGUGGGAAAUACCUGUUAGUAAUAUCCAAUAUGCCUCUCCCAUCCCAUUGGAAGCUGGAGUAGGCAGAUGCCCGGCUCUAGCCUCUGCCUAUUCCUCUCUCCACAGGGAAGAUAAGAUCAAACAGCCAUUCCCUGAACAGCCUUUGGCUCCAAGCACCAUUUUUGCCUUCUUUCUCCUGCAAUAAGCACAUCACAGGCUUCCUGAAAGCAGGGCUUGCAGCUUGAAGCUGCUCUGUGUGUACAGCCCUGGAGGAUGACAAAUCCUAUCUCUUUGGUGUCUGCUCCCCAGUGUCCUUACACAGCUAAGGAAGCACCUUCUGCCUCCAGUGUCCCAUCCCCUGCCCAACCCUAGGGAAGAGCAGUAUUGUCAGACACAUAGGAUUGUCCUGUGUGAUACACUGAACUUCCCAGCCUGCAGCAGCUUCUUAAGGGGGGAGGUCAGCCCCAGCCACACCCCUGGGAGAUGGCAGCAGGAAGGCUGCAGGACUCUUCUGUGUACUGACACCAGCCUGGCACAACCCACUCCCAGAUCUAUGGGCAACUAACCCCAAAGCACAUGUUGCCCUUGCCUACAAGGGAGAGACACAGAGUCCUCUGUACUGCCUUACAAGUUGCAAUGAAAGGGCACACCUACCGAUCUUUCUGCAGCUUGUGGUAAUGCUGUUAGGCACUCAAGCACACAAUACAUGCACACACACGUGACCGCACACUCACAUUAUACACACACACAUGUAUACACACACACGCGCGCACACACACACACACGUAUCAUUUCUCAGAGGAGGAAGUGUUGACAUCAGAUAUAAGAGUCCCUUUAACUCAAGAAAGCCCCUCUCCCCCCAGGCCGGGGAUUUAGCUCAGUGCUUUCACUGCCUGCUGUGCAAGCGCAAGGACCCAAGUUCGAUCCCCGGUACCAAAAAAAAAAAAAAAAAAAAAGAAAGAGAGGGCCCCCCACCUCCCCAAUCCCCAUUGCCUGCUAGUUCCCCCAAGGAAAAAAAACGAACCUAAAAAUAUUUCCACCCUCCACAGUUUCCAGGUUUGCUCUCAGAUGCAUUUGAAACUUUCCAAAUACUGCACAAGAUGGACAGAAAAAUCCAUCCAGCGAGGCCUGAGGUCUUCUCAACUGGGUCAUAGCCUUCUGGAAAAAGAGCAAUCCUCAAGUUAGCAUGGGGUACGAUGGUUCUGUCCCAGUAAGAGCAGCACAGACUGCCACCCCCUGCCACCUGCAUCUGUCCUUGGGUGUGCUCUGACCUGAGAGUGGAUUCAGAGCCACCCUUGACCAGUUCCUGUCGGUUUAGGAACCCACCGGCUCGCUGGUUGGCUGUGGCCUGCCG